rnacentral:rRNA from 1 species
AGAUGCGAGAGUAGAGCAUAUCAAUAAGCGGAGGAAAAGAAACUAACAAGGAUUCCCUUAGUAACGGCGAGUGAAGCGGGAAGAGCUCAAAUUUGAAAUCUUCAAGGUUUUACCUUGACGAAUUGUAGUUUAAAGAAGUGUUUUCUGUUGAAGUUUCGGUAAAAGUUCUUUGGAAUAGGACAUCAUAGAGGGUGAGAAUCCCGUAUUUGACCGUUAUUUUCUAGCUGUGUGAUACACUUUCAAAGAGUCGGAUUGUUUGGGAAUGCAGUCCAAAAUGGGUGGUAAAUUUCAUCUAAAGCUAAAUAUUGGCGAGAGACCGAUAGCGAACAAGUACCGUGAGGGAAAGAUGAAAAGAACUUUGAAAAGAGAGUUAAACAGUACGUGAAACUGUCAAAAGGGAAGCGUUUGACACCAGUGUUGUUUUUCUCGAAAAUCAAUUAAAAAUGUGAUUCAUGCUAGUUGUAUUGACCUUCAUCGCUUUCUGCUUAGUUUUCAUGGUCUCUUUUUAAUGCACUUUUCGUUAACAAGUCAACAUCAAUUUCUUUUGCUGUAAAAGGGUAAGAGGAAGGUGGCUUGACCUUCGGCUUAAGUGUUUAUAGCCUUUUACCUCUGCAAUCGGAGAGAUUGGGGUCUGCAGCGUAGAUCCUUCGGGGUUAGAUACACUUGUGCUAAGCUAUAGCCUUGUAUAGACAACUUGUUGACUAUGCUCAGUCAUGUAGCUUACUCGCUUGUGCUAUUUUACCUACGCUUAGGAUGUUGAUAGUCACAGCGUGUAC